rnacentral:rRNA from 1 species
AGUGGACGAUGAUUACUAAGUGUUGGAGGGUUUCCGCCCUUCAGUGCUGCAGCUAACGCAUUAAGUAAUCCGCCUGGGGAGUACGACCGCAAGGUUGAAACUCAAAAGAAUUGACGGGGGCCCGCACAAGCGGUGGAGCAUGUGGUUUAAUUCGAAGCUACGCGAAGAACCUUACCAGGUCUUGACAUCUUCUGCCAACCUAAGAGAUUAGGCGUUCCCUUCGGGGACAGAAUGACAGGUGGUGCAUGGUUGUCGUCAGCUCGUGUCGUGAGAUGUUGGGUUAAGUCCCGCAACGAGCGCAACCCUUAUUACUAGUUGCCAGCAUUCAGUUGGGCACUCUAGUGAGACUGCCGGUGACAAACCGGAGGAAGGUGGGGACGACGUCAAAUCAUCAUGCCCCUUAUGACCUGGGCUACACACGUGCUACAAUGGAUGGUACAACGAGUUGCGAAACCGCGAGGUUUAGCUAAUCUCUUAAAACCAUUCUCAGUUCGGACUGUAGGCUGCAACUCGCCUACACGAAGUCGGAAUCGCUAGUAAUCGCGGAUCAGCAUGCCGCGGUGAAUACGUUCCCGGGCCUUGUACACACCGCCCGUCACACCAUGAGAGUUUGUAACACCCAAAGCCGGUGGGGUAACCUUUUAGGAGCUAGCCGUCUAAGGUGGGACAGAUGAUUAGGGUGAAGUCGUACAAGGGUAACCAACGGGAAAGUCAAAAUAGGAAAAGAAACAACAAG